UUAAAAGUCUAAUCUGCCCAAUGAUUUAAAUUAAAUGGCCGCGGUAAAUUGACCGUGCAAAGGUAGCAUAAUAAAUAGUCUUUUAAUUGGAGGCUUGAAUGAAUGAUUGAAUGAAAAAUUGACUUAAUUAACGUUAAUAAUUGAAAUUGAUUUUUAAGUAAAAAAGCUUAAAUAUAUGAGUGGGACGAGAAGACCCUAUAGAAUUUUUAAAAUUUUCUUUAAUUUAUUUUAUAUAGUUAAUUAAUUUCUUUAUUUAAUUAAUUUUUUUGUUGGGGUGAUAUUAAAAUAUAAUUAACUUUUAAUAAAAGUUUCAUAAAUAUAUGUAAUUAUUGAUCCAAAAUUUUGAUUAUAAGAAUAAAUUACCUUAGGGAUAACAGCGUAAUUAAUUUGAAGAGUUCAUAUCGAUAAAUUAGAUUGCGACCUCGAUGUUGGAUUAAGAAUAGAAAUUGGAGCAAAAUUUAUUAUUUCUGGGUCUGUUCGACCCUUAAUAU
rnacentral:rRNA from 1 species